AGAGCGAACGCUGGCGGCAGGCCUAAUACAUGCAAGUCGAACGGAUCCUUCGGGAUCAGUGGCGGACGGGUGAGUAACGCGUGGGAACGUGCCCUUUGGUACGGAACAACUGAGGGAAACUUCAGCUAAUACCGUAUGUGCCCUUCGGGGGAAAGAUUUAUCGCCAUUGGAGCGGCCCGCGUUGGAUUAGGUAGUUGGUGAGGUAAAGGCUCACCAAGCCUACGAUCCAUAGCUGGUCUGAGAGGAUGACCAGCCACACUGGGACUGAGACACGGCCCAGACUCCUACGGGAGGCAGCAGUAGGGAAUCUUGCGCAAUGGGCGAAAGCCUGACGCAGCCAUGCCGCGUGAAUGAUGAAGGUCUUAGGAUUGUAAAAAUUCUUUCACCGGGGACGAUAAUGACGGUACCCGGAGAAGAAGCCCCGGCUAACUUCGCGCCAGCAGCCGC
rnacentral:rRNA from 1 species